rnacentral:rRNA from 1 species
GUGCGAUCAUACCAGCACUAAUGCACGGAUCCCAUCAGAACUCCGCAGUUAAACGUGCUUGGGCGAGAGUAGUACUAGGAUGGGUGACCUCCUGGAAGUCCUCGUGUUGAUCAUU